GGAUCAAUGAUGAUACCAACUGUCUGAGGAAGUUGAAGGACUCAGAACAAAUGACUAUGUGAGGUCU